AGAGUUUGAUCAUGGCUCAGGACGAACGCUGACGGUGUGCUUUAGACAUGCAAGUCGAACGAGAAAGCCCUUCGGGGUGAGUACAGUGGCGAACGGGUGAGUAACACGUGGGUAACCUGCCCCUCGCAGGGGGACAACCGGGGGAAACCCCGGCUAAUACCCCGUACGCUCCGAGGUCCGCAUGGUCCUCGGAGGAAAGGUAGCUUCGGCCAUCCGGCGAGGGAUGGGCCCGCGGUCCAUUAGCUAGUUGGUGGGGUAACGGCUCACCAAGGCGACGAUGGAUAGCUGGUCUGAGAGGAUGAUCAGCCACACUGGGACUGAGACACGGCCCAGACUCCUACGGGAGGCAGCAGUCGGGAAUCUUGCGCAAUGGGCGAAAGCCUGACGCAGCAACACCGUGUGGGCGACGAAGGCCCUCGGGUCGUAAAGCCCUGUUGUUGGGGACGAAGGGCGAAGGGUUAAUAGCCCCUAGCCUGACGGUACCCUUCGAGGAAGCCCCGGCUAACUACGUGCCAGCAGCCGCGGUAAUACGUGGGGGGCGAGCGUUGUCCGGAAUUAUUGGGCGUAAAGAGCGUGUAGGCGGCUUGGUAAGUCUGCCGUGAAAACCCGGGGCUCAACCCCGGGCGUGCGGUGGAUACUGCCAGGCUAGAGGAUGGUAGAGGCGAGUGGAAUUCCCGGUGUAGCGGUGAAAUGCGCAGAUAUCGGGAGGAACACCAGUAGCGAAGGCGGCUCGCUGGGCCGUUCCUGACGCUGAGACGCGAAAGCUAGGGGAGCGAACAGGAUUAGAUACCCCCGUAGUCC
rnacentral:rRNA from 1 species